UCCUGUCUGUCUUAUUUCCUUUACAAUAUAAAUUAGCGAUUGAUAAAAACGUUCAUAAUGACUUUUGGUCCAAAAGAAUAGAAAUAUUAACAAAAGUCGGAGAAACCAGAAGAAAAAACUUAUCUUUGAUGAAAUGACCAAAAAUAACCAAAAAUUCCUCCAUGCACAGUUCUGGAGGAAAUGUUUCUAGUUUGAAAUCUCC